GACGAACGCUGGCGGCGUGCUUAACACAUGCAAGUCGAACGAAGAGCGAUGGAAGCUUGCUUCUAUCAAUCUUAGUGGCGAACGGGUGAGUAACGCGUAAUCAACCUGCCCUUCAGAGGGGGACAACAGUUGGAAACGACUGCUAAUACCGCAUACGAUCUAAUCUCGGCAUCGAGGAUAGAUGAAAGGUGGCCUCUACAUGUAAGCUAUCACUGAAGGAGGGGAUUGCGUCUGAUUAGCUAGUUGGAGGGGUAACGGCCCACCAAGGCGAUGAUCAGUAGCCGGUCUGAGAGGAUGAACGGCCACAUUGGGACUGAGACACGGCCCAGACUCCCACGGGAGGCAGCAGUGGGGAAUCUUCCGCAAUGGACGAAAGUCUGACGGAGCAACGCCGCGUGAGUGAUGACGGCCUUCGGGUUGUAAAGCUCUGUUAAUCGGGACGAAAGGCCUUCUUGCGAAUAGGGAGAAGGAUUGACGGUACCGGAAUAGAAAGCCACGGCUAACUACGUG
rnacentral:rRNA from 1 species